AACUGUGAACUGGCAGAGGCAAGUGCGCCCUUCAUUACGCAAUUAUCCAUAAUUAGGUGCUCAUUACUACUUUAUCAUCGGGGAGUCAGCACCCACCUGUGCAAGACUGUCGUGAAGCAUGGCAAGCCAGUGAAACAGUGCCUCGCUUGUUCGCUAGGAACGUGACAUCUCAAGCCAGCAGUUCCAGCCUGUGCGCGUAAGGAGCCCAUCUGAAGUGACACGCAGACGGGUGCGGGCCAUGGAGCCAAGCGUUUGAGUGUGCAGAUGGCAUACUGCUGUGUUCACUUUGGGGCUCGCUGGCAGUAGAGGGGCAGUCAAGAAGAAGGGGAGGGGAAAUGGGGAGCAGAGGCUUCGUUCUCAGUGCGGGAGAGCGAAGCUGCCUAACACUGAGGUAGAGAAAUGGCUGACACCCAGACCAUGCCUUAAUUUUUCUUUGCAGAAGAGACAGACAAACCCUACGGGACUUCUGCAAGAUGCCUUCUGGACCCUAAUGUCAGUCAAACGUCACUGAGGUGGAUAUCUCCGUGCUGAGAAGCUCUGAAAUCCAAAGCUCGCUGAGCAUUGGCAUGACACAUGGGGCCGUGGUACACCUGCCUUCCUGUGGGUGGAUCUCAGAAAUGCAGGCACAUCGACACUGUAUAAAAUUAUCUCAAGGCUGUGUGGGAAGGUCUGUGAUGGCUGAUUUUGGUUGUCAAGUUAGGAUUACACCUGGAACCAACUAAAACCCAAGUAUGCCUGGGCAUGCCUGUUGACUGAUUUUCUUGAUUGGAUCAUUCGAGAUCUGAAGACCCACACCACAUCUAGGCCACCUCCUCUGGACGUUGACCACAUGGAAGGACUUGGAAGAAGGAAGCUUUUUGUCUUUCACCCACUUGCCCUCACUCCUGCUGGCACGUUCAUCUAUUCCAUUUCUUUGCUGGAAUUACAACCUACUUCUUUGGGGCUCUAACACAGACCAAGACCAGAAGCUCUUUAGGAGUUGCCCAGGACUCCAGCACCAGAUUGGGACUGAACUGCUGAGACAUCCAAUCUCAGGAACUAAACGACUACUGGAUUCUUAGCCUUCCUAUUGAGAGAUAGCAAUUGCUAAACUACCUGGACCACAAACUGCAGGCAAUUCUAACAAUUCCAUCUUUAACAUAUAGAACAGAUAUAGAUGUAGAUCUAGUCAUUUUCUCAGUUUUUUCCUCCGGAGCACCUUAACUAACACAAUGACCAUAGUAUAAAGUACAUAGACCAUUUGCCUUUAUCAGAUAAAUGAGACUUUGAAUAUAAACUGGGCCAUUUGGGAGGGGAUUGGAUUGGAGAUGGGAUGAGAAGGGGGAUGGGCAGCAGAAAUCAGGUGUAGGGAGGGCCCAGAAGAGUGAAUGGAAAUCAGCUGGGGUAGGGAUAUGCCAGAGACCUAGGAAGGGGGAGACUCCAGGGAGUCUAUGAGGG